rnacentral:rRNA from 1 species
AGUGGGGAAUCUUGCGCAAUGGGCGAAAGCCUGACGCAGCCAUGCCGCGUGAAUGAUGAAGGUCUUAGGAUUGUAAAAUUCUUUCACCGGGGACGAUAAUGACGGUACCCGGAGAAGAAGCCCCGGCUAACUUCGUGCCAGCAGCCGCGGUAAUACGAAGGGGGCUAGCGUUGCUCGGAAUUACUGGGCGUAAAGGGAGCGUAGGCGGAUAGUUUAGUCAGAGGUGAAAGCCCAGGGCUCAACCUUGGAAUUGCCUUUGAUACUGGCUAUCUUGAGUAUGGGAGAGGUGUGUGGAACUCCGAGUGUAGAGGUGAAAUUCGUAGAUAUUCGGAAGAACACCAGUGGCGAAGGCGACACACUGGCCCAUUACUGACGCUGAGGCUCGAAAGCGUGGGGAGCAAA